GGGGGGGGGGGGAGGAAGGUAAGACUCCAUUCCCAUUAGCAGCAAGAACAUAAAACAAGAAGGAAUAAAACUUCUAGUUAGAAAAAAAAAUCUAGAAAUUAUAUGAAGAAAACUGCAGAAUCAUACCUGAGAAUAAAAUUCAACUUGAAAUAAUGGAGAGGCUUACAGUAAUCCUGAGUAAAAAAAAAAAAAGAGAGGAAAUUUUGGAAAAGUGACACUUCUUCCAAGUUAAAUAUAUUGAUUUAACUCCGUCAACCCACUGUCCGACUAGGAACAAUAGUAUGAAGAAUGGAAAUGGAUUCCGAAGGAAGAAUGUGAAAACGGCCCUGAUUCUUUCCUUCAGGUAACAUCUACAGGGGAGAUACAAUUUAAGUCUACUCAGCCCAGAGAGGAAGCCUACAACAGCCCAAAGUGUGUAUAACAAUGAGUUUAAUUGUGGUUACUUAAAGAAAUAUGGGAGAAGAGGCUGUCCGGUGGCCCAUGCCUUUAAUCCCAGCACUCGGGAGGCAGAGGCAGGUGGAUCUCUUGAGUUCGAGGCCAGCCUGGUCUACAGAGCGAGAUUCAGGACAGGCACCAAAACACAGAGAAACCCUGUCUUGAAAAAAAAGAAGAAAAGAAAUAUGGGAGAGGAGUUUCAGGAGCACAAAUAAUUCAAAGAUCACUGCAUCAGUAAAGCUCACUCCAGCAUGGGGAACAACAGCUCACAAAAGCUGGAAAACCUGGAGCAUACUGCAGAGCCUGCAAGCUGCUCCACACGUUGGAGAGUGUCAGCCUCCCACACUUGGUUCUAUACCUCUUCCUGACAGCUUAGCUUGCUUGGGCUUCUUUCAGGCUGCUUAUCUUGUCUUUUUUGUGGCGGGGCUUGUCUGAGAGUGGCUCUCUGGGAAAGAGGAGCCUAGUUAAUCCCGUCAGUUUCAGAGACUUCCUGAAACUCUUUUGUGUUGUUGACAUUCUGUCUGAAAGAGCUUCCUGAGUGAUGGAGUGUUUCAAUCUGGGAGGAAACUGCUGCACAACAGCUUGUCAUACAGCUCAAUUGGUAGAGUGCUUGUCUACUAUGCCUGAAAUCCUGGGUUCCGCUCCUCAGCAUCACAUAAAACUGGCACACAACUGUAAUCCCUUCCCAGCGAUCUGGAAGUGGAAACUGGAGGAUCAGAAAUCCAAGGUCAUCUUCCGAUACAUAGUGACUUCCAUGAGUUUACAUGAGACCCUGCUUCAAAAAGAACAGUAAGAAAAAUGGAAUGGUUGGACUUGGCAGCAUAUUUCUAUAAUCACAGCAUUCCAGGCUGAGGCAGAUGAGUUCCAAUCUGCAUAUGGCCUACAAAGUAUUCUCCAGCUCAGCCUGUGUUAUGUAACAAGAUCCUGCCAAGAAAGCAAAAACUGGAGAAAAACAAAAACAAAACAACAAAGAACACUGAUUAUAACUAGGUGGCCAGAUCUUGCCAUGAGAAUUCAUGUUCUAGCUUUCUGGGUGCUUAGGUGCCUGAGGUACUCCUGGUUUAAAUGCAGGCAGCUAGAGGGUAACAAGAUGAACAAAGGAAAUGCAGAUGAGAAUUGCAAAAGUAAACAGAAACUGGAGGGAAAAAAACUGCCCCAAAGAGUUAAAGAACUAAACUAAUUGAAUGUGGCAGGUUCAACUGAAGAGUUAACUAAAGAAAAAAAGUGUAGAACAUGUUACUGUUGAUGACUUGGUGGAAGAAAUGGCUCCCAAAGGCAGACAGACUCCUGAUAGCUGGCAGUGUAAAAGAGUAACUCCUGUAAAGAAUAAAAACAUUCCUUGCUCAGUAUGCUAGUUUUUUUUUUUUUUAAGAUUUAUUUAUUUAUUAUGUAUAGUGUUCUGUCUGCAUGUGUCCCUGCACGCCGGAAGAGGGCACCAGAUCUCAUUACAGAUGCUUGUGAGCCACCAUGUGGUUGCUGGGAAUUGAAAUCAAGACCUGUGGAAGAGCAGCCGGUGCUCUUAACCUCUGAGUCAUCUCUCCAGCCCCAGCAUGACAGUUUUUACAGUGAAUUAGGAUAUGCUGUUCUAUGGAUUUAUUUAUGAAAAUAAAAUGCAAUAAAUUUUUUAAAAAUUGAUUUUACAGCCAGGUGGUGGAGGCUUUAAUCCCACCCAGCACUCAGGAGGCAGAAGCAGGUAGAUCGCUGAGUUCCAGGCCAGCCUGGUCUACAAGAGAGUUCCAGGACAGCCAGGGAUACACACAGAAACCCUACCUCAGAGAAAAAAAAAAAAAAACACCAACCAAACAAACAAACAAAAAAUUGUGGUGGGUUAGAGUGAGUGGCCCCCACAGACUCAUGUGUUUGAAUGCUUGGCCCAUAGGGAGGGGUACUAUUAGGAGGUGUGGCCUUGUUGGAGGAAAUGUGUCUGUGUGGAGGCAGGCUUUGGGGGUCUCAUAUGUUCAAGCUAUGCCCAGUAUGGCACACAGUCUCCUUCUAAUGCCUGUGGAUCAAGAUGUAGAAAUCUCAGCCCCUUCUCCAGCAUCACGUCUGCCUCCGUGCUGCCAUGCUUCUCGCCAUGACAAUAAUGGACUAAUCUUCUGAGACGGUGACCCCUGUGCAAGAGUCACUCAACCCUCCGAAAGUGAGUUGAGUAUCUGUCGUGACCACACUCUGCUUCCUGGUUUCAGAUACAGAGUGACCAUAGCUUCUUCACAGUACUGAACUGUAAGUUGAAACAAAAAAUUCCAUCCUUAAGGUGCUUCUAGUCACAGCAACAGGGCAUGAAACUCAGAAAAUUGGUAGUGAUAAACUUGAUCAUGUUUUGGAACUGGUUUGUUAAGAGGGUUGUAGAAUAACUUCAAACUUUAGCCUAGAAAAGCUCUUGAAAGCUGUAAGCAGAGCUUAAUGGAAUGUUUCCUUAGGAGUUUGGAAGACCAGAAUGCGAAGAAAAAACAUCAUGAAGGCCAGAUUCAUGAGGUUUCCAAGGGGAACAAGACUUGGGA